AUUGAACGCUGGCGGCAUGCCUAACACAUGCAAGUCGAACGGAGCGGCGGACGGGUGAGUAAUGCCUAGGAAUAUGCCUGGUAGUGGGGGAUAACAUCCGGAAACGGCCGCUAAUACCGCAUACUAUUGGAUGAUGCGAGGUCGGAUUAGCUAGUUGGGGGGGUAAAGGCCUACCAAGGCGACGAUCCGUAACUGGUCUGAGAGGAUGAUCAGUCACAGUGGAACUGAGACACGGUCCAGACUCCUACGGGAGGCAGCAGUGGGGAAUAUUGGACAAUGGGCGAAAGCCUGAGCCAGCCAUGCCGCGUGUGUGAAGAAGGCCUUCGGAUUGUAAAGGACGUUAAGUUGGGAGGCGUUACCAACAGAAGAAGCACCGGCUAACUUCGUGCCAGCAGCCGCGGUAAUUC
rnacentral:rRNA from 1 species